CAGAAGAGAUCUCGAUCGAUCUCCCACCGCAUAAAUCGCAAAAGCGAAAUUCACGUAGAAUGAGCGAGAGUAUUCAUACCAGCCGAUGGUAGUAAGGCAUCUCCAAACGGAUUGUAAACCUCCGCAAUCGUUUGGACCACGCUACGGAUCACGGAAGCCAUCCAACCCGACCUAUAUCGGUUUAUGGGGCGGUUCAGGUUCACGGUGGACGUGAUUUUUUUUCCUCAUGGACUUCACGUCCACCGGCAACGGACAAGGCGUAGACUCCUUCGAGAAUGAGUAGGCCACGGGAGACAGCGGGGCUUGGUGUCCCAUGUGAGCCGGUCCGUCUCCCGUGUUCUACUCUUCUUCGCCAGAGACCGCACGUCUUAUCGCCGGUGCUUAUGAAGAUGGCGGAAGGAGGAUGACACGGGCUUGGACGCCGGCCGCCACCACCGUAGGAGAAGUUUAGGGGUAGGUCUUUUUCUUCUAAAUGUUCAAAAUAUAGUUAAAUUCAUUGUAUUUGUAUGAAAUUCGUCAUGUUUAUACGAAAUUCGGCCGUGUUUGCAUGAAUUUCAUCUAGUUCGUUGAGAAAUAGUUUGAAACGAAUACAACUAGCGUUGGAUGUCGACCUCUCACAUUCAUGUCCGCGGACUGGUACCCCUGUCCGCAGACCGGUGCGAGGCGGGCGUGACGUGUGGACGAGGCGGAAUGCUUCUCCUCCUCCCUCUCUAGUUUUUGAUGCAGCGGCGGCGGAACCGUGGAAGCGAGAAGGCAGAAGAGACGAGGGGCGGGAGCAUAGGUUGCCGAGGAAGGGCGCCUUUUCACAAUGAUGCAGUAUGUAUUCUGUGUUCGGGGAUAGACAAAUCUGUGUGUUCCGCCCACCACGCCAUGCGCGCUCCAUAUCCCAAGGUUCAUAUCUACAACCACACCAGCCAGCCAGCCUAGAUCGGUUCACUCUGUUCCAUGCCGUGCUCUGAUGUCCCGUUGCUGCUUCUCGAAUGUGAGAAUCUUGCAUCUGGUUGGUCAUCUCCAAAUGAUCCCUUUUCUUUCUCAACUCUAGCCAGCCGCCCGCUAAGCUAGGUGCACACUAAGGCUGGUUGUAAUGUGUAGUAUCAUAAGUUAGUAUCAUGCAUAUGAUACUAGUAUAUGAUACUAGCUCCCUAAUGCAUAGUAUCAUAUAGUAGUAUCAUAAAUGACUUUAAUUAUUGUCAUGCAUGACACAUACUAGUGUAGCAUUUAUUAUGAUACGGUAGUAUCAUGAUAUGAUACUCAAUCCUCUUUUACUUCAUUUAAUUCUAUGCCACCUCAUUAAAGUUGCCUAGUUGGCAUGCAUGAUACUAUCUAUGAUACUUCCAUUACAACCAGCCUAAAGAAAAGGAGCUAUACUAGGUGUAGCAUGUUUUAGUAGUGCCUCAACAACCACGAUCGAAUCGACAACCACCGCCUCAGCGUGAAGGUAAACGAAAUCCAUUAAAAGGACACCGAUGAACAGACUUGGUCUCACAGAAUCGCAGGACAAUCGCAAGCAAACAAACAAAAAGUAGAGAGUCGUUAGUGUUCGUACUAUUCGUCAUAAAUCAACCGGCCCUAGCCGGCAAAAGUGGAGUACAAAAUAGCUAGCUCUAAAAAGGCUACUGUCUCCUCUCCCAAAAGGUUUAAAGGGUUUCUUCAGGAUUGAUGCAGCUCACCUGCUAAGAGCAUCUACAACCUGAUUUAUCAAAUCUGACCCCUAAACGUCCGUGGAUGCACCGAUCAGUGUCCAGGAGUGCCCGAUUUGUGCCCCUAUUUAUUCGUCAAUGUGGCCACACUUUUCAUUUUCUUUCUCAUAUGUAUGUUCACUUGCACGUGCUUGGUGAAGAUAAAGAGAGAAGGAAAAAAAGAAUAAAAAAAAGAAAAAAGAUGGUCCGGAUGGGCCGCGUCCUACAUGGUAGACAGACUGGGCACGUUCGUGAGCGCCUAUAUCCUCCUUACAUUUAUCCUUAAUAUGAGGGUUCGCGAACAAUUUGGACGUAUAGAGAUGAUAUGAGGGGUCCGAUGGGUCACUAGUUUUCUUCUCUUUUCUCUCUGGGCAUGACCGAUCACGUACGCAGACGUUUAAGGAGGAUUUGAGAACAUUUACAGACGGACUUUGCAAAUCCGGCCUCUCAAAUGCCCGUGGACGCGAUCGGGCGCGUCCGCAGGCAUUAACCGGGCAACCCUCAAAUCUUGUCGUCCACAUUCGUGUAUCCCAUAUCCGGUCCCUCAUAUCUAUACUAGCAUGCAACAUAGAAAAAAAAGAAUAUUAUCACACAAACAUAGAAUCGGACAAGGCAAUGCAUGGAUGUCCAAAAGAUCGCCAAAGUUUACAUAAUUCACAUAAACUUAAAGUACAUCACUAAAAACUAGAAACUGAAGACGAAGACGGCGAAGAUUCACUACUUCCUCGCUGGCCCUUUGCUCUUUCGUUUGCCGGCAUAGCUGUAGCUGUCAGCGGCUGGUGGCGGAUCGUCCGAGUCAUCGGAGGAGGAACCUUCCGAGUCGUCGUCAUCGGAGUCAGAGAGGAGACGAGCCCUUUUAGCCGCCGGACCUCCUGUCCUGUUGUCGCUUUAGCUUCGCGAGCCAAGCCGCCUUCGCCGCUUCCUCUGCCGCCUCACGCUCGGAUUGCUCAAUGGCAAUCCGGAGCGCCUUGCCAUUCUUCCGUCAGAGCCGCCGCACGUCCGUCUCCGCGGUCAUAAGCGACCGACGGUUGACCCAUUCGAGGAGCCGCGCAUCGUCAUCGGGCUCCGCCUGCAUCCCGCGGCGACGGUGCACGGACUGCACUGCCUUCCUCCUCUCCCUUUCCUGCUGCCGCUCGCGGCGGGCACAUGCGCCUCUGAAUCCGGCGUAUGCGUUUGGGUCGGCGGGGCGGGCACAAGCACCCACCGCUGACCACAUGGGGGAGCAGCAGCCGGCGGGGGUAGGGGACAGCGUAGGGGAAGCACAGACUGUGCAUGCCGCCUGUCGGAGCUGCGUCCGGGCCGGGAGGGGCCAGCGCCGGUGUCCGAGCUCCGCUGACAUAGAAGUUGUGGCUAAGGCGAUUCGGAGGGCAAGCUCAUAGUCCGGAUCCAUCUCGGAGUCGGAACGGCUGCCGUAGCUCGACAUUGCGCCGGAUUCGAUUGGAAUCGGUGCGGGGAAAGGAGAGGACGGAGCGAGAGAGGAGAGUGAGUGAGCUAGGGUUUCGAAGCGAUGAGCCGGAUGGAGUUUUUUGUGGGACAUCCGUGGGGUCGGUGGUGGGUCGGCCUUGUCAGGCGGACACGCCCGGACGUGCCCGGGCCAUCCCAUAUCUGCCCCAUAUUUAGGCUGGAUAUGGGGGUGACGGUCUGCCCGUGCGUUUGAAGCUCAUUUGAGGCGUCCGCCUGGAUCGAAAAAACAUGACCAGACAGUGAUCGGGCGGCCCCAUGGACAUAUAAGACAGGUUCGAGAGAUUCGGUUGUAGAUGCUCUAACCUCGGAAAAGGCGGCUAGCAAAUAGACAACGCAAUUAUGCAAGUGGAUGACGCCACUCGCUUUACACAUUGAUGACUCGCGCCCACUGCUCCGGUUCAUUAAGCAAAGAGGUAAUAGCACUGCAGGUCCCUGAACUUGCAUGUCAGGUGAUGGUUUGGUCCUUGAAGUUGCAAAAGUGGAUUAUUUGGUCCCUGAACUUGUCAUGGAUUUGCAAGUUUAGUCCACAGCCAACCAGAACUCGCCAAGUGGAUGCCAAGUGGCCUGGCUGGUCAGCGCCGUGAGUUUUUCACUUAGCCCCCUCCCUUUCUGAUGAAUCAACCCGCACUACUACACAAUGUGGCACAUGUGUUGGUCUAUUCCUUGGCAUAUUCUCCCUCUGCUCCCCCUCCACUCGGCAGCUCCCCCUCCACUCGUCUGCUCCCUCGUUUGCUCCCUCUGCUCCCUCGUUUGCUUCCUCUGCUCGCCGCCGUCCAGCUCGCCGGCGACGCCAGCUCGCCGUCAUGGUUUCUUGGAGUGAAGGAUCCAGCUCCUCGUCGGACGGCUACUCUGUCACAAGUGAGGUUAGUUCGUCACUACCACUACUCCUCUAGCAGUUUAGGGGCAGUUAGGGUUUAGUGCAAGAUUUGAGGAUUUUGCUGACUAGAAUGUGUUGUAGGCUCCUGCUCCUGCUACCAUUUUCUGCUCUGAGUGGAGAGCCCUUGCUCCAGAUCUUGCAGCUCGAUGUGAACACAGUUGUGUGUGUGAGAAGUUGGUGUCCUUUGAAUCAGUUGAUAGUGGAAGGAGGUAUCUUGCUUGUGCACAAAAGGAAAUUCCUAAAUGCAACUUUGUGGAGUGGAUUGACCCUGAAUGGCCUGCCACUCUGAAGAUGAGUUUAGCUAGGGUUUGGGGCAUGUAUGAAGAUGAGAACAAGCUAAGGCUCAGGGAAAAUGUAGUCAAUGCUGAAGAAAAUUUCAGGGUUGUGAAAGAGAAGGAAAAGAUGGAAAAGAUCUAAGGUUUUUUAAACUAGAUUUUGCUAAGAUGGUGGCUGACAAGGAGCAGGCAAUUACUGAGUUGGGCAAUGCAAGACUUGCUCUUUCUGACCUAGAGCAAGAGCUUGAGAAGAAGAAGCUGGCUGAUAAAUCUAGCACUAGCAUACAUCAGGUUUUGACGGCUAAGGCAGAGAAAGAGAGGGAUGAGAUGAAGCAACAGAUGGACAAGAUGAAAGGAGAGAUGGACAAGAUGAAAGAAGAGAUGGACAAAGUGGUGUCACAGAGGGAUGAGCUGAAGAAGGAGAAGAAGAAAUUAGAGUACACGAUUGGUGAUUUGUUCAGGCACAAGGAGGAGAACAAGAGCAAGAUAAGGAGGGUGAAGGAGAUCUUAGAGGAAUUUGAUUAAUUCAUUGUUGCUGUAAUGUUGAUGCCUUAAGUUGGAGUUAUCAAUUAGUUGUACUGAAAUUAUUGGAGUAAUGCCAGUAUUAUGUAAUGCACUUUAUUUUUAUGACUACUUUUAGUUAACUCAAAUCUGUAUGACUCAUUUUAGUGCUACUAGUUAUCUGAAUUUCUCUAGUUUA
rnacentral:rRNA from 1 species